rnacentral:lncRNA from 1 species
UUAUUUACUAAUUAUAUUGAAAAUUUAAACUUAAAAAAUCUUAGAAAAUUAAUAAACUUGAAAUACUCAUUUAUUAUUUAUACUUAUUACUACAAUUAGACUUAAACCCAUAAUUAAAAGGCUUUUAUUAGCUCAUAACCUCUCACUACAUUUAAAAAUCUCUUUAUUUGGGGCCAUUUCCCAUGGAUUAACCCCAUUUUAAUUCUGCUUUCCCCAGAUGACGCAAGGGUACGGCCCCCUCCCCCCAUCCCUAAGGAAUCCUUUUCUCACGGGAUUCCCGGGAAUUUUAACGGGAUUUGAGUUUUCCCUCGGCAGCUAUGGCACCUACCCUGCCCCCACAGCCAGAGCUACUCAUGGGGGGGCCGGGGGGCAGGGCUACUCCCAGCAGAGCUACAGCAGCUACGGCCAGGGCUCAGCCAAGGGCUUGGGCUACAGCCAGGGCGGCUACAGCGGCUCUUACAGCCAGAACUAGAGCGGUGAGCGAUCCCAAAAAUCUGGAAUUCCCAAAAAUCCCCAUCCCUCUAUCUUGCUAGACCUGAAAUCUGCGCUUCUGUACCUGAAACUGCCCUAAAACUGCUCUGAAAUCCCCCAAAGUGAGCCCAGAGCUGCCUGGGCAGAGCCAGAGCAGUGAGUGAUCCCAAAAAUCCUGGAAUUCCCAAAAAUCCCAGGUGUUAUAUCCCCCUGUACCCAAAAUUGCCGCCUUUGUACCUGAAACUGCCCUGAAAUGACCAAAUCUGAGCCCAAAAAUGACCCCAGUUUUUGACCAUCCCGUUUCUCCCGGUUUACUCCCAUCAUUCCCACUUUCCCCAUUAUUCCCAUCAUUCCUGUUUUUCCCACUUUCUUCAUUUUCCCCCCGUUUUCCCCCUGUUUAUCCCCGUUUUUCCCCAGUUUAUCCCUAUUUCUCACUGUUUUUCCUGUUUUCCCCCCAUUUUUCCCCAGUUUAUCCCCAGGUUACUCGGUGCCAGCGGCUCCUCCCUCCUACAGCUCUGGCGGCUUUGGCUCCGGGCAGAGCUCCUCAUACCCGGCCUACUCCCAGCCCCCCACUGCUGCCUCUGCCAGUUACGGCAGCGGCUUUGUCAGUUCCAGCUAUGGCCAAGCCCUGAGCAGGGGCCACAGCCAGCAGAGCUACGACCAGCAGUUGUCCUACGCCCCACCCCCUCCCCUGAGCUACAGCCAGCAGGGCCAGUACAGCUCUGGUGGCUGUGAGUCAUGUUCCUAAAAAAAUCCGGGGUUUUGGGGCAAAUUCUGUGGAUUUUGGGCAAAAUUGGGACUGAAAUUGGGGGAUUCGGGGUGGAAUUUGGGGGUUUGGGAUAGGAACAGUUGUCCUACAACACCCCCCCAAGAUACAGUGGUAGAAAUUCCCCCAAAAUUGCGGGAUUUUGGAAAAAAAAAUUACCAAAUUUGGGGCAGAAUCCCUGGGAUUCGGGGCAGAAUUUGUGGGAUUUAGGGGAGAAUUCUUGGAAUUUGGGGCAGAAUCCCUCAGAUUUUAGGCAGAA